UGUGCAUUGAAAUGGAAGUGCACAGGAGGGGCACUAAACUGGAUAUGGGAUUCAGGAAAGGCUUCCUGGAAAACAUGGAGUGUUGGCUGAGAUCUGAAGGAAAAUAAAGGUCUCCUGCCAACGUCUUCCAUUGGGUGAACCCAAAGUGAAGCCAUAAGAAAUUGUAACAGCCACCCCCACCAUGAGCAACCCCCAGCCUGAUCAGCAGCCAACAACAUCAAGGGAAGAACCUCCACCAGCAAAAGAUUACAAUUCCCUCCCUGAAAGAUCAGGUGAUGGUUAACAUUUUAUAGCAAUAUUUUUAAAUUAAGGAUCUAAACCCCUUUGAGCACUCAGAUACCAGGCCAACGAAAGCUAGAGAAUUGAUGCUGAUCCUUGCUGGCUAUAGGCCUUCAUCACUUCAACCUGGAUUCUGCCAACUUAAGAUGACUUUUGUCCCAAUGUCAUGCUGCAUUCCCCAUUGUACAAGCCCUUUAUUUUGCUUUG